rnacentral:rRNA from 1 species
ACGCAAUAGAUACCCAGGUAGUCCACGCCGUAAACGAUGAGUGCUAAGUGUUAGAGGGUUUCCGCCCUUUAGUGCUGCAGCUAACGCAUUAAGCACUCCGCCUGGGGAGUACGGUCGCAAGACUGAAACUCAAAGGAAUUGACGGGGGCCGCACAAGCGGUGGAGCAUGUGGUUUAAUUCGAAGCAACGCGAAGAACCUUACCAGGUCUUGACAUCCUCUGACAACUCUAGAGAUAGAGCGUUCCCCUUCGGGGGUACGAGAGUGACAGGUGGUGCAUGGUUGUCGUCAGCUCGUGUCGUGAGAUGUUGGGUUAAGUCCCGCAACGAGCGCAACCCUUGAUCUUAGUUGCCAGCAUUUAGUUGGGCACUCUAAGGUGACUGCCGGUGACAAACCGGAGGAAGGUGGGGUAUGACGUCAAAUCAUCAUGCCCCUUAUGACCUGGGCUACACACGUGCUACAAUGGAUGGUACAAAGGGCUGCAAGACCGCGAGGUCAAGCCAAUCCCAUAAAACCCAUUCUCAGUUCGGAUU